CAUUAGAGGCAGGAACUAGGUUACAAGGAGAUAGAGGAGGAAGAGGACAACAAAGAAAAAUGGAGAGAUUUGGUGGGAAAUCUAGACCAGGUCCAUAUUCAUUUCAGAAAUCCAACCAAGAGACAAGUUUAUCUUCUGUCUCGUAUUUUAUUCAUUAUUUUCUCUGACUUGUAAUGUAUUUUUCUAACUCUUCCCCUUUUUAUCAUUUUUAUGCAAUGAGAUAAGUUCUUUAUGUUGAGAUGAUUGAUGUAGCUUAACCUACCAUGAUUAAUUUUGAUAUUUGCUCUUUAAUGUUGAAGUACUAAUUUUCAUGUGUAUUUAUUAUUGUAUUUAGUGCUUUGAUUUAUUUAGUCCGUAAAUGAUUGUGUUGAGUGAUUUGUAUAAUGUUUGAGAAAAUAUUGUGCAUUUUAAACCAAGUAGUAAAUAACUUAAGUUCUUAUAAGAGAUAAAGAUAUACUUAUAAUCUUAUGUGAUCUAUUGAACUAUUUUCAUAAAAAUUUAAUGCUAUUAGUUGAGUUUUAAGCAACAUAGAAAUAUAGUAGGUUAAACCAAUUAUUAGAGCUAAUUUCGCUUGAUAGAUGUAAUUAGUUAAAUAAGAAAAUAGGGUCUAAUAUAAUAAUUUAGUAAUUUUCUUUUUGGCUUAUUGAAAAAUUAAUUAGGCGUCGAUUAAGUGAAAUUAUGAAUCCCGACUACAUUGUCUUUUCAACUUUCUUUAAUUAUUAGAUUUGUUAUUUUUGUAGAGUUUUUAAUUAUUUUUGAAAUCCAACUUUUAUUAUGUGUUUCAGUGUUAAAAUAAUUUUAACUAUUAUGUAAUUAAUUAAUCAUUUCUCAUUGAAUCAAUAACUCGAACUCGUUAGUCCAUUUUAUUGUUAGUACACAACAUGUGCACUUGUGGUACACAUAUUUUUUUAGUGAAUUUUUUUUUUGAUAUUGUUGUCGGUGAAUGUAUUUACUUUGAAUACUAUUUUAGUUAAUUUUAAUUUUAACAAUUUUAUUAUUAUUAUUAUUUUGGUUACUUUUUACUAUCUACCACAAUUUUGACCUCUUUUGUGUAUAAUGUUCAUUCUUUUAUUAUUCGGCUAUAUAUGCAUGAUUCUAACAAUUGUAAAGUACCAAAACUUUUGUAAUGACUAAUCUUUACAUGGACAAUGAGAUUAAACUUGGAGGAGAUUCAAGUUGUGAAAUUUGUUACUCGAUGCAUUGUACUAGGCAAUCCUUGUAUUCGUGCACUAGUGCAUUCACAUCAAAACUUCUUUGAUUUAGACAAUACUUAAGAUGUUGAAAAUAAGCAAUUGAAAAAUUUGAUGAAGGUUAUCAGCUCGUGAGAGAUCAUGUAACUAUCGAUUGGGAUGAGGAUAUCGUGCUUGUGGGAGAUGGUUCUCUCUAUUGAACGAGAAUGUACUUGGAAAAUAUUAUAAAAAACUUACCAAAUUGGAUUACAUGCCUGUGAGAGAUGCCAUGCAGUAGAACAAAUUUAAUAGGUGGGGGUAUAAUCCACUUGAAAGCGAUGAUAGGAAAGACUUAUCUUUGCUCGUGGAUUUAGAUUGGGAACCAAUCAUUCAAUUUGAGAAGAUAUCAAUUAUUAAAGAAGAGCUUGAAGAGAGUGGCAAAUUAAUCACAAAAGAACCAAACGAAGAUGUAACAACCAACGUGGGUGAAAUUAACAUACAUUCUUCUGACUUUGUUGAUUGCCUAAGAAUAAAUUUUAUGAUUAAAACCAAUGAGGAGGUGGAAGUCUACAUAGUUGAAUUUGAAUAGGAUUGAAUAGGCAAGUUGAGUUUUGGAGAAAAAAAAUGAAAAGUGGAGCAAAAUAUAUUUAAAAAAAAAAAAAACUAGGCACGUAAAACUUUCUCCAAAAGUCUCUGAUUCAAAUUUCUAAAGUUGAGUUAGGGACAUUGAAAAAAUGCUUCUUGGGAGGCUAUCUAACUUUCUAACCCAUAAUCUUUUUACUUUUUUGUCUUUUUGAUUCGAUAUAAAUUUUGUAGGCCAUUUUUUUGAAGUCCUAAUGCUCAUGGCUCUCAACAAGUUUGGGGGUGAAUUGGUAAUGAUGUGUACAAGAAGGUCACAAGCCCAAGCUCAUUAUUAGCAUCUUUCAACAACCAUCCAACUGGGAAAGUUUUGUUAACCCCCUUCUCUUUUAUAUUGUUCUUUUACAUAUUGAGGACAAUGUGCAAUUCAAGUUUGGAGGUGAUGGUUUAUUUUGUGGUGAUUUUGUUUGACUGUUAGAGAACCUUGUAGGCUAAGGAUGAUUUAUUGUUUAAAAUUGUUUUUGAUUCAUGAGUUAUGAUCAAAUAUGCUAUUUGUGCGUAUAUUUUUUUUCCAAGAAAAUUGCUUAUUUAUGUAAGAUCAUAAGUUAUCUUAAGCACAAUAGUCAUAAUCAAUUAUUGUCUAGGUGCAGAAAUUACUAAGUGAUGGAGAGAGUUUUAAAUGAGUAGAACUAGGUUAUGAGUUGUG
rnacentral:lncRNA from 1 species